rnacentral:rRNA from 1 species
AGAGUUUGAUCCUGGCUCAGGAUGAACGCUAGCUACAGGCUUAACACAUGCAAGUCGAGGGGCAGCGGGUUGAAAGCUUGCUUUCAAUGCCGGCGACCGGCGCACGGGUGCGUAACGCGUAUCAAACCUGCCUCAUACUCGGGGAUAGCCUUGCGAAAGUAAGAUUAAUACCCGAUGUUGUUGCUUUCUCGCAUGGGAGAGUAACCAAAGAUUUAUCGGUAUGAGAUGGUGAUGCGUCCGAUUAGGUAGUAGGCGGGGUAACGGCCCACCUAGCCUUCGAUCGGUAGGGGUUCUGAGAGGAAGGUCCCCCACACUGGAACUGAGACACGGUCCAGACUCCUACGGGAGGCAGCAGUGAGGAAUAUUGGUCAAUGGGCGAGAGCCUGAACCAGCCAAGUAGCGUGCAGGAUGACGGCCCUCCGGGUUGUAAACUGCUUUUAGUUGGGAAUAAAAAAAGGGACUUGUCCCUUCUUGUAUGUACCUUCAGAAAAAGGACCGGCUAAUUCCGUGCCAGCAGCCGCGGUAAUACGGAAGGUCCAGGCGUUAUCCGGAUUUAUUGGGUUUAAAGGGAGCGUAGGCGGAUUGUUAAGUCAGCGGUUAAAGGGUGUGGCUCAACCAUGCAUUGCCGUUGAAACUGGCGAUCUUGAGUGCAGACAGGGAUGCCGGAAUUCGUGGUGUAGCGGUGAAAUGCUUAGAUAUCACGAAGAACUCCGAUCGCGAAGGCAGGUGUCCGGGCUGCAACUGACGCUGAGGCUCGAAAGUGUGGGUAUCAAACAGGAUUAGAUACCCUGGUAGUCCACACAGUAAACGAUGUAUACUCGCGGUUUGCGAUAGACAGUAAGCCGCCAAGCGAAAGCAUUAAGUAUACCACCUGGGGAGUACGCCGGCAACGGUGAAACUCAAAGGAAUUGACGGGGGCCCGCACAAGCGGAGGAACAUGUGGUUUAAUUCGAUGAUACGCGAGGAACCUUACCCGGGCUUGAACU